UACGGGGGGGGUAAGCGUUGUUCGGAAUUACUGGGCGUAAAGGGCUCGUAGGCGGCCAACUAAGUCAGACGUGAAAUCCCUCAGCUUAACUGGGGAACUGCGUCUGAUACUGGAUGGCUUGGAUCCGGGAGAGGGAUGCGGAAUUCCAGGUGUAGCGGUGAAAUGCGUAGAUAUCUGGAGGAACACCGGUGGCGAAGGCGGCAUCCUGGACCGGUAUUGACGCUGAGGAGCGAAAGCCAGGGGAGCAAACAGG
rnacentral:rRNA from 1 species